AGCGCAGGCGGUUUUUUAAGUCUGAUGUGAAAGCCCUUGGCUCAACCAAGGAAGUGCAUCGGAAACUGGAGAACUUGAGUGCAGAAGAGGACAGUGGAACUCCAUGUGUAGCGGUGAAAUGCGUAGAUAUAUGGAAGAACACCAGUGGCGAAGGCGGCCGUCUGGUCUGUAACUGACGCUGAGGCUCGAAAGCAUGGGUAGCGAACA
rnacentral:rRNA from 1 species